GCCUUCCUAGCUCAGUCGGUAGAGCAUCAGACUUUUAAUCUGAGCGUCGUGGGUUCGAGUCCCACAGAUGGCA
rfam:Toxocara canis scaffold1513, whole genome shotgun sequence.